CAUAUAGCUUUUGAUGCACGCGGUCUUCCAUAUUUUAUAUUUACUCUCUUGGAAAAUCACUUUUGAUUCUCCAAUGGUGUAUCAAGAAACAAUUCAUCAACACUUUUCAGUAUUUGCAAAACCCUAAACCCUAUAGUUAUCAAAGCCACCAUAAAUUUGGCGGGAAAAUCAACUCCCCUAAAUCCUAUUUUCACUUCCCCUGGUUCUCAUGCAAUCACCUCUGAAUUCGGCUGUCAAUGCUCACCAUUUCCAAUCCCAAUGGAAAUUUUCAAAAUUCCCGGAAUUCGUUUCUAUAACGCCCAAAUUCACUCCCAGACAAGCCCUAACUUUUACCACAAAUUCGUUAAGAACCUCAGUUAACUACGAACCAGAGGAAGGACUCGACAAAGGGCCCAAGCCCUUAGGACUCAAAAAGCUGCCGGUGGUGGUUCGUGGGUCGGGUCGUGUUUCGAGGUAUUUCUGGGACGGGAAUUGCUUGCAAUUGGUCAGUGUUGAUGGUGGUGCGUCGUCGUUUGGCUUGGAUUUCGAUGAUGGAUUUAGGAAAUUGUUUAGAAUUUGUAGUUUGGGUAUUAGGGACUUUUUCUUACCCAAACAAGUGAGUGAGAAUUAUAUGAAUUAUGUAAAGUGGAAGUUUUUGCACCGCGUCUUUAGUUCUGCUCUUCAAGUUCUUGCUACACAGGCAAUGUUUCGUGCCAUAGGAAUUGGGUACUCACGUUCAUUGCCUGCAGCAGCAGCCUUGAAUUGGGUUUUAAAGGAUGGACUUGGACGGUUUUGUAGGUGCAUCUACACUGCUAGCCUAGCAUCUGCUUUUGAUACCAAUUUGAAGAGGGUUAGGUUCUCAACAUCUGUUCUGUUUAGUUUGAGCAUUGGAGUUGAGCUGCUGACUCCUGUAUUUCCUAAGUACUUUCUGCUUCUUGCUUCUAUAGCCAACAUCGCUAAACAAAUAAGUCUUGCAUGCUACUUGGCAACCGGUUCUGCAGUUCAUCGAAGCUUUGCAGUAGCUGAUAACCUUGGUGAAGUUUCUGCAAAAGCACAGAUUCAAACAGUGUGCUUUGAUAAUCUUGGGCUCAUGAUUGCUGCAUCUUUUAAUAUAUUGCUGAAGAACAAUCAAAGAUUGCUAGCAGGUUUACCUUUUGUAGUAUACCCCAUUUUCUCUGCAUUUGACCUCUUUGGGAUAUAUCAAGGGCUUAAGCAUGUCCAUCUGCAAACAUUAACUAAGGAUAGGCUUGAAAUCAUACUUGAUAAUUGGAUUGAGUUAGGACAUGUGCCUUCUCCGGCAGAAGUCAGUAAAGAAGAAAGUAUUGAUUUUCUGUGGAGCAAAGGCAAAGAAUUGUUUCCCAUCAGAAUAGGCUGCUUAAGUCCCAAGUGUCAGAUACCCAAGUCGUCAAUGACAGUGAUGCAGUCUUUAACUGAUGAAGAUUAUUACUUUAUUUCCAUGGAGAUUUUCCGCAAAGGUUUGACAACAAAUGGGCAACUUGGUAUCCUUCUUUGUCUUCGGGAAGGUGCUACUGUUACGGAUGUUAUCAUGGGUCUGUUGCAGGUAAAAGGAAUUGUACUCUGCUAUGCUACAUACACCCUUGUAUUUCCACGGGCAGAUGAAUUGGGUAAAAAUUGCUGAAUAAAGAGAGAUAAUACCAUUAUAUAUCCAUGGGCGGAUGGACUACAUGUAACAUUUCUGGGCCCAUAGGAUCAGUCCAUUGUUAAGAUAUUGUUCUCGUUGAGGCAUGCUAUGUCCGCAAGACUCUCCGAAUGAGCAGUGUGUGGGAGCAAAUAGUGGGAGCUAGUGAUGCCUCAGACCUUAUUCUUAAGGACAUGGAGUGGUUUAAAUUGAUAGAAGAUAGUAAGCGAUGUGCCCAAGCGGACUUGUCCAUGUUGAAUGAACAAAUCUCAGCACUGGGUUGGGCUGCAAAAAACAUUCUGUUGAAUACCCAGGAGCAGGCUCGAUACUCCUUUGUAGAUGACUGAAAAACCAGGAUAAUUUUCGAAUUUCGGUGUGCUCUCCUUGAAAUCAGAGGGAGAAUUUUGGGGAAAUAUUUGGAUUAUUUUUUUAUUGCUUCUUUUCUCAGAAGCUGACAAUUCUUUUCUUUUUAACUUUUGUACAUUCCAUUUGUAUAUCACUUCAAUUAUCCAUUCGUUGUACUUGGUUGUAAGACCAAAGGAACGCUCUUGACUUAGAAAGUAAGAUGGACAGUUUCUCAUCAA